rnacentral:misc_RNA from 1 species
UACGGAGGGUGCAAGCGUUAUCCGGAUUCACUGGGUUUAAGGGGUGCGUAGGCGGGUAGUUAAGUCAGUGGUGAAAUCUCGGAGCUUAACUCCGAAACUGCCAUUGAUACUAUCUAUCUUGAAUAUUGUGGAGGUUUGCGGAAUAUGUCAUGUAGCGGUGAAAUGCUUAGAUAUGACAUAGAACACCUAUUGCGAAGGCAGCAGGCUACACAUAUAUUGACGCUGAGGCACGAAAGCGUGGGGAUCAAACAGG